CAGCCCGUGCGAGCAGUCGUCAGUCAGUUGGCCAAGAAACUGGUAGCGUCUGGUGUUGCGAGCCAACAAAAGGCUGGCAGCCAUCACCGGACCGGACCGGGGCUACACGGCCCCGGGAACCGGGACCGGGACGGACCCUUGGCCACCGGUUCUGACUGCGGAUUGUGGACUGCCAAUUGAGUUUGAGUUUGAGUUUGAGCGACGCGUAGCCAGCCAAGAAAAGUGGCCAACAACAACUGGCCCUUACCCCCUGGCCAUGGCACUGAGCCUGAAGGUGGCCCAAAGAAGACGUUGCCACGCAGCCAGGAUGUGGAGUGUAAGCAGUGCCAGUGGCAGUGGCAGUGGCAGUAGCAGCAGCAGCAGCAGCGUAAUUUUUUGGCCGCACUCGCCAUUUGAUUAGCCAACUCAAACAUCAGGGCCAAGAUCGAGCAGGGCCAAACAGCAGUUGAUGGCCAAUUGACAGCUCCGCAGACACGCAGACCCACACCGCACGCGAUUGGACACACGGAUGGACCACACAGAGGACCCCACCAUCUGGAUGCUCUUCCAUGUCCGUCUCGACCAUACAGCAAUCAUACAGAAAUAACAUCAAUUAAAAGAAGAAGAAGGAGGAGCAUCAUUCCGCAACACCAACAACCAGUUGCUGCUGUGGUGCAAAAGUGUGUCCAAAAGUGUGUGUGUGUGUGUGUGUGUGUUGAAGUGUGUGUGGACUGACCAACAUGCGGUGCCAAAAAGAGUGCCAGAGAAGGAGGCCUGGCUCGGACCCAACCAACAACCAACAAAAAAGUGCAACUGGACAGGAACAACAACCAACCUUUGGCAAUGUUGAUUGUUUCAACGGACCAGACUUAAUGUAAUGAAUCGUCCUGUACCAUCAGCACGUCAACGGAGCCAGGCAAAUGCCAGCGAAGCCUCAAAGGAUCAACAUCAUCCACAGAGAGGCACUUCAAAGCAAACAAAAAUAACAAAUAAAGUUAUAAACAUUUCAAAAUAGUGAACGUAGUGCUUAAAACUCUCUACUCUAUAUAUGAACAAUAAUCAAAUUUAAUUUAAUCACACAUAAAAUACUCAACCGAAAGCAAUAACUUAUAUUGAAUACUUAAUCCCCGCAAUAACUAUAACUACAACGUUAUUGACACUUAAUCAACUUCUAUAAAUACAACAAUAGAACAAAGAAUACUCCUAAACUCUUAGUGAAAUGUAUAAUACAAAUCUGGUUACAUCGAAUACGUGGUAAUGACCAGCACUUGUAGACAAUUAUUUGUUCGAUUGAGAUCGAACCUAAAUUCAAUCAGCACGGGGAACUUCUCUGGUCUCGUCGAGCAUAAGAUUAUAUGACACGCCAUGCCACAGCUGGACCGUUGGAACGAGUGGAGCUGAACAUAGUGGAGAGAAGUGGAUGAGAAGAGAACAUCUGAGUUAGGAAGAGUGCCAGAAUAAUGCCGACUAGGCCCAAAGGAAACCUCGUUGGCCAAUUGGGGAGUUUAUCCAGGCGGAGAGCCAAACUGAAACUAUCACAGGCCUGACCAACCAAUGGCAGUUCAGUGCGGAAUUGAAGCCUGAUGCAAAAGGGGAACUGCGGGCGGGGUAAGCACAGAGCCAGCACAAUCGGCGCGCAAAUGCAUUUGGCAACAUUUCAAGCUGUCCAGGAAGUUGCACACUCACUCACACGCUGCACGGGGAUUGGUGGCAAGUUUGCCAAGUAAUUCUCUGACCUGCCUCGCUCACAUGCGCAUGGAAAGACGUUUAAGUAAUAUAUCAACCAUACGCCUGUUGGCCGGGCACCGAGUCCUUGCCUCCACGACCUCUUAAGUGUGUGUGUGAGUGUGCCGAGGAACACGAGGCUUGCCAACUGCAUUGCAGGCCC